GAUGAACGCUGGCGGCGUGCUUAACACAUGCAAGUCGAACGGAAAGGCUCCUGCUUGCAGGGGUACUCGAGUGGCGAACGGGUGAGUAACACGUGGGUGAUCUGCCCUGCACUUCGGGAUAAGCUUGGGAAACUGGGUCUAAUACCGGAUAGGACCGCAUUUUGGAUGGUGUGGUGGAAAGUUUUUUCGGUGUGGGAUGAGCUCGCGGCCUAUCAGCUUGUUGGUGGGGUAAUGGCCUACCAAGGCGUCGACGGGUAGCCGGCCUGAGAGGGUGUACGGCCACAUUGGGACUGAGAUACGGCCCAGACUCCUACGGGAGGCAGCAGUGGGGAAUAUUGCACAAUGGGCGCAGGCCUGAUGCAGCGACGCCGCGUGGGGGAUGACGGCCUUCGGGUUGUAAACUCCUUUCGCUAGGGACGAAGAGUAAUUGACGGUACCUGGAGAAGAAGCACCGGCUAACUGCGUG
rnacentral:rRNA from 1 species